UGGUGGGUGGGUUGACGGUAGCUGGAUAAGAAGCGCCGGCUAACUACGUGCCAGCAGCCGCGGUAAUACGUAGGGCGCGAGCGUUGUCCGGAAUUAUUGGGCGUAAAGAGCUCGUAGGCGGCUGGUCGCGUCUGUCGUGAAAUCCUCUGGCUUAACUGGGGGCUUGCGGUGGGUACGGGCCGGCUUGAGUGCGGUAGGGGAGGCUGGAACUCCUGGUGUAGCGGUGGAAUGCGCAGAUAUCAGGAAGAACACCGGUGGCGAAGGCGGGUCUCUGGGCCGUUACUGACGCUGAGGAGCGAAAGCGUGGGGAGCGAACAGGAUUAGAUACCCUGGUAGUCCACGCCGUAAACGUUGGGCACUAGGUGUGGGGGGCCUUUUCCGGGUUUUCCGCGCCGUAGCUAACGCAUUAAGUGCCCCGCCUGGGGAGUACGGCCGCAAGGCUAAAACUCAAAGGAAUUGACGGGGGCCCGCACAAGCGGCGGAGCAUGCGGAUUAAUUCGAUGCAACGCGAAGAACCUUACCAAGGCUUGACAUGUGCCGGUCGGCUCCGGAGACGGGGUUUCCUCCUUGUGGGGCCGGUUCACAGGUGGUGCAUGGUUGUCGUCAGCUCGUGUCGUGAGAUGUUGGGUUAAGUCCCGCAACGAGCGCAACCCUUGUCUCGUGUUGCCAGCACGUUGUGGUGGGGACUCGCGGGAGACUGCCGGGGUCAACUCGGAGGAAGGUGGGGAUGACGUCAAAUCAUCAUGCCCCUUAUGUCUUGGGCUUCACGCAUGCUACAAUGGCCGGUACAGAGGGCUGCGAUACUGUGAGGUGGAGCGAAUCCCUUAAAGCCGGUCUCAGUUCGGAUCGGUGUCUGCAACUCGACACCGUGAAGUUGGAGUCGCUAGUAAUCGCAGAUCAGCAACGCUGCGGUGAAUACGUUCUCGGGCCUUGUACACACCGCCCGUCACGUCAUGAAAGUCGGCAACACCCGAAGCCCGUGGCCUUAUGGGGAGCGGUCGAAGGUGGGGCUGGUGAUUGGGACGAAGUCGUAACAAGGUAGCCGUACCGGAAGGUGCGGCUGGAUCACCUCCUUUCUAAGGA
rnacentral:rRNA from 1 species